rnacentral:misc_RNA from 1 species
UCUCCGUUGGUGAACCAGCGGAGGGAUCAUUACCGAGUUUACAACUCCCAAACCCCUGUGAACAUACCUAUCGUUGCCUCGGCGGUGCCCGCUCCGGCGGCCCGCCAGAGGACCCCCAAACUUUUGUUUUAUACAGUAUCUUCUGAGUAACACGAUUAAAUAAAUCAAAACUUUCAACAACGGAUCUCUUGGUUCUG